AUUUUCUCUGAGCUAGUUUUGCAGAAUUGGGCCUCUCAUCUCUCAGGGCCAAAUCCUGGCUGUACCUGCACCCACAGCGCAGAGCUGGAUGGAGCUGUGCAUAAACUGGACUGUUUGAUCUCUAAAAGGCUGAAGAAAACCCCAGACCUGAUACCCCAUACAUUGGUCCAGGGCAGAGGUGUUCUGGGCUGUGUGAGUUGGUUAAAGUGACAGUAGACAGGAUGAAGAAGGAUUAUAUGGCAAUGGAGAACUGACUGGAUCCCUCAACCCAUUAUUUUGAUUUUUUUUUAAAGUAGAGUUUUUGUAAAGAAAAUGUAAUAUUAUUUUGGAUAUUAGAUAAAGUCCAUUGAAACACA